GGAGGUAGUGACAAUAAAUCACAAUGCGGGACUCCUAGUCUUGCAAUUGGAUUGAGAACAACGUACAACUCUUAUCGAUAAGCCAUUGGAGGGCAAGUCUGGUGCCAGCAGCCGCGGUAAUUCCAGCUCCAAUAGCGUAUAUUAACGUUGUUGCAGUUAAAAAGCUCGUAGUUGAAGUGAGGGAGUGUGUAGUAGGACCGACUUGAUCGGAACUGCUGCAACCUCCCCCCUCCAAUCGGUGUAGUGGGGUAUUCAGUUAUUUCACUACUCCUUUGGUCGUUUACUGUGAGAAAAUUAGAGUGUUCAAAGCGGGCGUUUGUUUGAAUAGAUUAGCAUGGAAUAAUGAUUGAAGGCUUUCGUGUUCGAUUUGAUUGGUUUGUUCAUGGAAGCAAGGUUAAAAGGAACAGUUGGGGGUAUUCAUAUUCACUAGUUAGAGGUGAAAUUCUCGGAUUUAUGGAAGAUGAACAAGUGCGAAAGCA
rnacentral:rRNA from 1 species